rfam:Schistosoma mattheei strain Denwood, Zambia genome assembly, scaffold: SMTD_scaffold0000945
AUCCAGCUGACGAGUCCCAAAUAGGAUGAGACGCGCUUCCUGGAU